rnacentral:rRNA from 1 species
GACGAACGCUGGCGGCGUGCUUAACACAUGCAAGUCGAACGGAAAGGCCCUGCUUUUGUGGGGUGCUCGAGUGGCGAACGGGUGAGUAACACGUGAGUAACCUGCCCUUCACUUUGGGAUAACUUCAGGAAACUGGGGCUAAUCCCGUAUCGGAUCCCAUGUUGCGUGGUGAGCGUGGGAAAUUUGCGGCGGUUGGGGAUGGAUUAGCGGCUGUCCGACUUGUUGGUGGGGUAGUGGUUUACCAAGGGUUUGAAUGGUAGCCGGCCUGAGUGGGUGGCCGGGCACCUGGGGCCUGAGAGACGGCCCAGAGUGGUACGGGAGGCAGAAGUGGGGAAUAUUGCACAAUGGGCGGAAGCCUGAUGCAACAACGCCGCGUUCGUGAUGACGGUUUUCUGGUUGUAAACAGCUUUAGCCUGUGACGCAGCGUGAGUGACGGUAACGGGUAAAGAAGCACCGGCUAACUACGUG